GUGGCAUUAGGAAGAUAUGGCUGUAAAUUUCCAUUCUAAUCACUCUGAGUUUCCUUGCUCUGAUGUGGCUGCCAAAUUCCUGUGAGACUCUUUACAGGUGAAUUCCAGACAGCUGAGCACCUUGUCCACAAUAAAAAAAAUAACUGGGGUUUCUCCCCAUUGGAGUAAGAGAAUGCUAAACAUGAGACAUGUUGGCUUUCUGUGUAAUGCCCUGUUUUUAGCUUGUCUCUUGGUCAUCUGCUGGCCCCUAGAUCUAAGGAAGUCUCCCCAUGAAAAGCAGCAAAAGGCCAUAAGUGGGGAGAUGGUGUCUUGAGGUUAUGAUCUCAGAAGCAGUAGUUACCCAGGCCCACUCAGAAAAGAGGUCCUCUGCAGAAAGCAGAAGGGAUGAGAGGCAACCAUCUUGGUGAACAAAAGGGGGCAGAAGAAUGAAUACACUGUGCUCCAGGAUAGCACCUUUGCCAGUCAGUUUUUAUAUAAGGAUCAGCAGCUCAAGACGUCAAGUACAAGCAGAGAACAGAAGCUGACAGCUCACCCUAGCAGUUGAAGAAAUUGUCCCCCUUCGACAUGCUGUUUCCCAUUUACAUAAGAAAUCAAAGCUGCCAGAGCUGGCUGAUGACUGAGCCACGCUGGCUUGGUGAUAGUUUGCUCUUCAAUUAAAACAGAACUGGGCCGGGGAUUUAGCUCAGUGGUUUCGUCGCCUGCUGUGCAAGUGCAAGGACCCAAGUACGACCCCCAGUACCAAAAAAAACCACAAAAAACAAAACAAAACAAACCAGAGCUGCAUUUGGUUUGUUAUCUUCAGCUAUCACUUCUCACCUCCGCUGAACCUUUCCUCGGACCACAACAAAUGUCACUUCAAAGAUUCCACACUGGAUUUCCACCGAGAAGAACAUAAUAACCCCGAAACAGUGUCCUCUAAACAAAACAGCGUGCACUACCCUCCCACCGGGUUGGGGAGAGGAUGUGGAGAAAGUUCUAUGAAUUUUAUAGAAUAAAGAAAGCAGGAAGCUAAUCACGAGGUUGACUGGUUCCAUACUGCACAAGACCAAAUUUAAGAUCUUCAGGGCUAUAGGGAUGUUAUUGGUUCUGUGCUAUCUGAGGUCCUACUAGUGCUCCAGAGCUUAUAGUGACACUGGGGACAACAAACUCUUGUCCUGUUGAAAGAACUUGGGGUGUUUGGUUGGAAAAGGGAAAGUUUCAUGGGGAGGGUAUUAGGAGUCAUUCUCAUAUAUUUGAGAGAUUUUUGGGAAAGGAAUCAGACUCAUAAUAGGCAGAAUUGGCAUACAUCUUUAGCUCAGUAUAAAGAAAACCUUUUAAAUGAGAUUAAUAAGAAGCAGAGGGCCCAACACUCUCUGUCUGAU
rnacentral:lncRNA from 1 species